CCUCCGGAAUCUGUUGGGGGCUGAUGAAGUGAAUGUGGCAGUCGAUGCCGCCAGCAGUAAGAAUCUGUCCCUCGCCGGCUACUACUUCCGUCGUCACGCCUACCACCAUACCGGCCGUCACGCCCGGCAUAAUAUGCGGAUUGCCGGCCUUGCCAAUGCCCACAAUACGCCCAUUCUUGAUGCCAAUAUCGGCCUUAAAAAUGCCAGUGUAAUCCAGCACCAAGGCAUUGGUAAUUACUAAAUCUAGCGCGUCGGCUUGGCCUAUACCGGCGGCUUGGCCCAUACCGUCGCGCAG
rnacentral:sRNA from 1 species